CCGGUGGAUGUGUCUCAACGUGACUGUUUACUGAUAAAAUAACCUUUUUAUAUUCGACGCUGUAUGUGUUUCUAUACGUGAAAAGAGGCGGUGGGACCGUAUCUAUCCUGUCGGGAAACCGAGUAGCGUUUUUCGUCGAAAUAAAUCCUCGUUUUGUUUAAUCCAGUUGAUCAGACGUGUUGUUGAUUUCGCCGAGCCGACUGUCUAGUCAUUUUUUUCUGAUAAAUAAGAGCGAUCUCUGUGGAUUAAAUUGAACUACAAAUACGAUGAGUACCUUGAAUUCUGUGGAUCGAGUUGAACUGUGCGACAGCCUUUUAACAUGGAUCCAGACGUUUGGAUUGGAGGCACCAUGCAGGACAGUGGACGAUCUCACAAGUGGGAUCGUCAUGGCCCAGGCCCUACAAAAAAUAGACAUUGUGUAUUUCACUGACAACUGGAUCAGUAGGAUCAAGCCCGAGGUGGGAGAUAACUGGCGGCUAAAGAUCAGUAAUCUAAAGAAGGUGUUGAAAGGUAUACUGGACUACAACCAGGAGGUCCUUCAACAGCAGAUCAAUGACUUCACCCUGCCAGACAUCAACCUGAUAGGAGAACACUCAGACGCUGCAGAGCUGGGCAGGAUGCUGCAACUCAUACUGGGCUGUGCUGUCAACUGUGAGCAGAAACAAGAAUACAUCCAGACCAUAAUGAUGCUGGAGGAAUCUGUUCAACAUGUUGUCAUGACAGCCAUUCAGGAGCUGAUGAGCAAAGAGUGUCCUGUAAUGGGAGGAAACGACUCGUACGCCGACAUCGAUAGACAGCUGAAGAAGACAGUGGAGGAUUUGAACGAGGCUCUAGCCACCAAGGAGGAGAUCGCACAGAGAUGUCACGAGCUGGACAUGCAGGCUUUCCAUGUACAGGAGCAGCGAGAUAGACUGAGGUUAGAGUAUAUUGAACUAGAGGAGAGGGUGGCAGCGCUACAGGAGGAGAGGGGUAGUCUCCUGGCCGAGAACCAGAUCCUCAUGGAGCGUCUCAACCAGUCUGACUCCAUAGAAGACCUGAACAGUCCUGUAGGACGUAGGCACCUGCAGCUGCAGACACAGCUAGAACAUCUCCAGGAGGAGACCUUCAGGCUGGAGGCAGCGAAGGAUGACUAUCGUAUCCGUUGUGAGGAGUUGGAGAAGGAGCUGACAGAGCUGAGAGGACAGAAUGAAGAGCUCACCUCCCUGGCUGACGAGGCCCAGACACUGAAGGACGAGAUGGAUGUACUCAGACACUCGUCAGACAAGGUGUCCAAGCUGGAGGUCAUGGUGGAGUCGUAUAAGAAGAAGCUGGAGGACCUGGGAGAUCUGAGGAGACAGGUCAAGCUGUUGGAGGAGAAGAACACUCUGUACAUGCAGAACACUGUCAGUCUGGAGGAGGAAGUACGCAAGGCCAACACCACGAGAGGACAGCUGGAGUCCUACAAGAGACAGGUGGUAGAGCUGCAGAACAAGCUGUCUGAGGAGUCUAAAAAGACAGACAAGAUGGAGUUUGAAUACAAGAGACUCAAGGAGAAGGUGGACUCUCUCCAGAAAGAAAAGGAUCGAAUGAGGUCAGAGAGAGACUCCCUAAAGGAGACCAUUGAGGAGCUGCGUUUUGUUGAGGCUCAGGAAGGACAACUGUCUACAGGCAUGGUUCCACUGGACAGUAACGAGGGCUCUGAUUCGUUGGCUGCAGAGAUCGUCACCCCAGAGAUCCGAGAGAAGCUGAUCAGACUGCAGCAUGAAAACAACAUGCUGAAGCUGGCCCAGGAGGGUUCUGAUAAUGAGAAGAUCGCUCUGCUGCAGAGUUUACUGGAGGACGCUAACAGUAGGAAGAACGAACUGGAGACAGAAAACAGACUGGUGAACCAGAGACUGAUCGAGGGUCAAAGUCAGGUGGAGGAGCUGCAGAGGAGUCUUCAGGAACAGGGCUCCAAAGCAGACGAUGCGAUUUCAAUCAUUCUGAAGAAGAAAAAUGAUGCUCACAUGGAGAAGUUACGGGAAGUGAACAGUGAACUGCAGAAGAAGUGUGCGCACAUCGAUGACUUGGAGCCCAAGUACACCUCUAGUUCCCAGAAAGUAGAGGAACUGGAAGAGGCGUUAAAGAAGAAGGAUGAAGACAUGAAGCAGAUGGAGGACAGAUAUAAGAAGUACCUGGAGAAGGCUAAGAGUGUUAUCCGGACCCUGGAUCCUAAGCAGAACCAGGGCUCGGCACCAGAGGUCCAGACCCUGAAGAACCAGCUGCAGGAGAGGGAAAGGAUGCUGCACUCUCUAGAGAAAGACUACGACAAGACCAAGGCUCAGAGAGACCAGGAGGAGAAACUCAUAGUGUCUGCCUGGUACAACAUGGGCAUGGCUCUACAGAAGAAGGCAGCAGAGGACCGUCUGGCCAGUACGGGUUCCGGACAGUCCUUCCUGGCCCGCCAGAGACAGGCUACCAGCACACGCCGCUCUUACCCCGGAUACCCGGGACCCCAGUCCGCCACCGCCAGGUAGACAUGGCGCCGUGACUCUUCAACCCGACCUUUGACCUCCGACCCUUCCAGGCCAGGUACCACCACGGCCAGUGAUGACAUUACAUGACCAGCGCAGGCAGGGGUGAUGGGCGGGUGCAUGACCAUGGCUUAAUAAUGAGCUGAGCUGAAAAUAACCCUUCAUCAAUUCAACACUAACCCUCAACUCUAACGGAGGACGGGCCGGGGCGGGCGGGCCCAGAUUAUGCCCAGGACUGAGGGGGGGGGGGGGCUGAGGGCUCUCUACAGACCCAGACGGCGCCGCCCUCUCAGAGGCCACCCUAACCUACCCCCCCCCCCCUCCUCCUUCACUCACAGACCUGCAUCUGCUUGCGAACCUCUAUCGUCAUGACAUACUCUGAGACAACAACAGUAGUCUCUAGUGGGGUAACGGGGAGAGCUGGAGCUAGGGCUGGGGAUGAACAAACAAAAAAAACAUUUUAAAGAUUCUUCAUGGAAACCUCUUGUUCUAAAUGUGUGGUGCAAAGCGAGGACUACAUGGAAGACAGUGUUAUUCUUAGUGACCGGAUGGUUUUCUGUAGACUUUGACAAUGACGAUGAUCAAGCGACUAGCAAUACAUGGUUACUGUACUGUAAACCUGGUGUGUAUCUGUUGGGUGUUCCACUCACUUCUCUCUCUUUGUGUUUCACUGGGUCUGAGAGAUAAAGAGCAAUAUCAUCAUUUAUUUAUCACAUGAUCCUCUAAUCAAACGUUGUAUAUACUGAGUGUACAAACAUUAGACUCUGGACUCUACAAGGUGGACUCUACAAGGUGGACUCUACAAGGUGGACUCUACAAGGUGGACUCUACAAGGUGGACUCUACAAGGUGGACUC